UACGUAGGGUGCGAGCGUUAAUCGGAAUUACUGGGCGUAAAGCGUGCGCAGGCGGUUUUGUAAGCCAGAUGUGAAAUCCCCGGGCUUAACCUGGGAAUGGCAUUUGGGACUGCAAGGCUUGAGUGCGGCAGAGGAGACUGGAAUUCCUGGUGUAGCAGUGAAAUGCGUAGAUAUCAGGAGGAACACCGGUGGCGAAGGCGGCGACCUGGUCCGACACUGACGCUGAGGCGCGAAAGCGUGGGGAGC
rnacentral:rRNA from 1 species